ACCGGGAUUGCCUCAGUAACGGCGAGUGAAGCGGCAAGAGCUCAAAUUUGAAAUCUGGCCCCUCCGGGGUCCGAGUUGUAAUUUGUAGAGGAUGCUUCGGGUGCGGCCCCCGUCUAAGUGCUCUGGAACGGGCCAUCGGAGAGGGUGAGAAUCCCGUCUGGGACGGGGUGUCCGCGUCCAUGUGAAGCUCCUUCGACGAGUCGAGUUGUUUGGGAAUGCAGCUCUAAAUGGGUGGUAAAUUUCAUCUAAAGCUAAAUACUGGCCGGAGACCGAUAGCGCACAAGUAGAGUGAUCGAAAGAUGAAAAGCACUUUGAAAAGAGAGUUAAACAGCACGUGAAAUUGUUGAAAGGGAAGCGCUUGCGACCAGACUCGCUUCCGGGGUUCAGCCGGCUUUCGGGCCGGUGUACUUCCCCGGGGGCGGGCCAGCGUCGGUUUGGGCGGCCGGUCAAAGGCCCCCUGGGAUGUAACGCCUCUCGGGGCGCCUUAUAGCCAGGGGUGUCAUGCGGCCAGCCUGGACCGAGGNAUCGCGCUUUCGGCACGGACGCUGGCAUAAUGGUCGUAAAACGGCCCCGUCUUGAUUAUCACGGACCAAGGAGUCGUUGACAUCUACGCGAGUGUUCGGGUGUCAAACCCGUGCGCGCAGUGAAAGCGAACGGAGGUGGGAGCCCCCUCGCGGGGCGCACCAUCGACCGAUCCUGAUGUCUUCGGAUGGAUUUGAGUAAGAGCGUAGCUGUGGGGACCCGAAAGAUGGUGAACUAUGCCUGAAUAGGGCGAAGCCAGAGGAAACUCUGGUGGAGGCUCGCAGCGGUUCUGUACGUGCAAAUCGAUCGUCAAAUUUGGGUAUAGGGGCGAAAGAC
rnacentral:rRNA from 1 species